AAACCAUGAUGUGGGAAAAGUCUCAUCAUGUCCUUAUAUCUCUCCCAUGCCUCAAAAAGAGAUUAAGUGUCGGCCUAUCUAAAACAAGUUAUUUGGUUUCUUAACAC